AGACCGUGAUGCAGGCAUUUCCUUAGUUGCUCCUUUAACCUUUCCCAUGUCUUGUACAAGGAUUCCCCAUCUUCUUGAGAGUACGUGUUGAUUUCGCUCAUGUGUUU
rnacentral:snoRNA from 2 species